AUUAUUAGUGGGGAGGGGAUUGCCGGACCCCGGCUGGCUGUGUCUGCACCGUAGCUGCUUCUGCGGGCGAGGAUUCGUGGCAGCUGCAGAGCAACUGAAUGAGGGUAACGCGGACCGGAGGAAAAGAUAUUUUACUUUUACUGAGAAUCGGACAGAGCAACAUAUCUUAGAAUUUCAAGAUGGACUUGGCAAAAGCAAAUGAUAAGAAAUCUCUCAUUUGAACUGUUGUAUGUGUAUGCAUGAUGAUCUGUGAAUGUGAUAUAUAAAUAAUGUAAAUAAUUGUGGGAUAAUGUUGUAAGAAAGAUUGUUGAUGCAUAAUUAUCAAUCAACUUCCAUUCUGGCUUGGUGCACAUUUUUCACAGAAUAAACUCUUUGAACUUUGUACUU